GUGGGGAAUAUUGGACAAUGGGCGCAAGCCUGAUCCAGCCAUGCCGCGUGAGUGAAGAAGGCCUUCGGGUUGUAAAGCUCUUUUGUCCGGAAAGAAAAGCCUUCGGUUAAUACCCGGGGGUGAUGACGGUACCGGAAGAAUAAGCACCGGCUAACUUCGUGCCAGCAGCCGCGGUAAUACGAAGGGUGCAAGCGUUACUCGGAAUUACUGGGCGUAAAGCGUGCGUAGGUGGUUCGUUAAGUCUGAUGUGAAAGCCCUGGGCUCAACCUGGGAAUGGCAUUGGAAACUGGCGACCUAGAGUGCGGUAGAGGGUAGUGGAAUUCCCGGUGUAGCAGUGAAAUGCGUAGAGAUCGGGAGGAACAUCCGUGGCGAAGGCGACUACCUGGACCAGCACUGACACUGAGGCACGAAAGCGUGGGGAGCAAACAGGAUUAGAAACCCCAGUAGUCC
rnacentral:rRNA from 1 species